AACGCGAAGAACCUUACCAGGUCUUGACAUCCCUCUGACCGGUCCGUAACGGGACCUUCCCUUCGGGGCAGAGGAGACAGGUGGUGCAUGGUUGUCGUCAGCUCGUGUCGUGAGAUGUUGGGUUAAGUCCCGCAACGAGCGCAACCCCUAUCCUUAGUAGCCAGCAGUUCGGCUGGGCACUCUAGGGAGACUGCCAGGGAUAACCUGGAGGAAGGCGGGGAUGACGUCAAAUCAUCAUGCCCCUUAUGAUCUGGGCUACACACGUGCUACAAUGGUGGCUACAAAGAGAAGCAACCUCGCGAGAGUAAGCAAAUCUCAAAAAGGCCAUCCCAGUUCGGAUUGUAGUCUGCAACUCGACUACAUGAAGCUGGAAUCGCUAGUAAUCGCGAAUCAGAAUGUCGCGGUGAAUACGUUCCCGGGUCUUGUACACACGC
rnacentral:rRNA from 1 species